rnacentral:misc_RNA from 1 species
CAGUUGACCCCGGCCCUCCGGGCCGGGAUGUUCACAACCCUUUUGUUGUCCGACUCUGUUGCCUCCGGGGCGACCCUCGCCUCCGGGCGGGGGCCCCGGGUGGACAUUUCAAACUCUUGCGUAACUUUGCAGUCUGAGUAAAUUUAAUUAAUAAAUUA